rnacentral:rRNA from 1 species
UGGCGAACGGGGUAGUAACAGGUAGGAACGUACCCGGAAGUUGGGAAUAAUCCAUCGAAAGAUGGACUAAUACCCAAUAGACCCUCAGGGGUAAAGAUUUAUCGCUUCCGGAUCGGCCUGCUUCGUAUCAGCUAGUUGGUAGGGUAAAAGCCUACCAAGGCAAUGACGCGUAGGGGAGGUGAGAGCCUGACCCCCACCAUUGGCACUGAGACACUGGCCAAACACCUACGGGUGGCUGCAGUCGAGAAUCUUCCGCAACGCACGAAAGUGUGACGGAGCGACGCCGCGUGGUAGAUGAAGUAUUUCGAUAUGUAAAUACCUUUUAUAGGUGAAGAAGUUUAUUGACAUUAACCUAUGAAUAAGGGGUUCCUAAUCACGUGCCAGCAGGAGCGGUAAUACGUGAACCCCAAGCGUUAUCCGAAAUCACUGGGCGUAAAGGGUGCGUAGGCGGUUUUAUUAGUCCUCUGUUAAAGUUCCGAGCUCAACUCGGGGAAGGCAGAGGAAACGGUAAAACUAGAGUGUGUGAGAGGUAUAUGGAACUCUCGGUGUAGGGGUGAAAUCCGUUGACAUCGAGGGGAACACCAAAAGCGAAGGCAAUAUACUGGCGCAUAACUGACGCUGAGGCACGAAACCGUGGGUAGCGAAUGGGAUUAGAUACCCCAGUAGUCCACUGGCCUAAACGUUGCAAACUGAAUAUGGGGAGCAUCGACCCUCUCCGUGUUGAAGCUAACGCGAUAAGUUUGCCGCCUGGGAACUACGGCCGCAAGGCUAAAACUCAAAGGAAUAGACGGGGACUCGCACAAGCGGUGGAUCAUGUGGUUUAAUUCGACGCUAACCGAAGAACCUUACCCAGGUUUGACACCGUACUGAAAGCCUUUAGAAACAUUGGCCCUCUUCGGACAGUACGGCAGGUGAUGCAUGGCCGUCGUCAGCUCGUGGCUUGAGCUGUUCCGUUAAGUCGGGUAACGAGCGCAACCCUCAUCGUAUGUUAUAUAUGUCAUGCGAGACUGCCCCCUCAC